rnacentral:rRNA from 1 species
UACGUAGGGGGCAAGCGUUAUCCGGAUUUACUGGGUGUAAAGGGAGCGUAGACGGCGAUGCAAGCCAGAUGUGAAAGCCCGGGGCUCAACCCCGGGACUGCAUUUGGAACUGUAUAGCUAGAGUGUCGGAGAGGCAGGCGGAAUUCCUAGUGUAGCGGUGAAAUGCGUAGAUAUUAGGAGGAACACCGGUGGCGAAGGCGGCUUACUGGACGAUGACUGACGCUGAGGCUCGAAAGCGUGGGGAGCAAACAGG